UUUUUUUGCCAGUCCUGGGCCUUGGACUCAGGGCCUGAGCACUAUGCUUUUAGAAUCAUCUAAAAAUAACAGGACAUUUUCAGAUGAGAACCUUUCUUUCCUUUUCUUUGGGGUUCUAAGAGGCGCUUGGGUCUUGCUAUUUGGUGCUUUUCUCCCACUGCUGUCCUCUUUUGUUUUCAUUGUGUUUUGGUAUCUUGAGUCCUGUUUACU